rnacentral:rRNA from 1 species
UACGAAGGGUGCAAGCGUUAAUCGGAAUUACUGGGCGUAAAGGGUGCGUAGGCGGUUUGUUAAGCCGGAUGUGAAAGCCCCGGGCUCAACCUGGGAACUGCGUUUGGUACUGGCAAGCUAGAGUACGGCAGAGGGGGGUGGAAUUCCACGUGUAGCAGUGAAAUGCGUAGAGAUGUGGAGGAACACCGAUGGCGAAGGCAGCCCCCUGGGCCGAUACUGACGCUCAGGCACGAAAGCGUGGGGAGCAAACAGG